AGGAAUUUAGCUUAGUGGAAUAAGCACCUGCCUUGCAAGCACGUGGUCAUGAGUUCAAUUCCCG
rnacentral:tRNA from 1 species